ACAGCCUGCUGGGAAGCUGCAGAUGGGCAGGGUCUGCAGCUGCGCAGAGAAUGAAAUGGAUGGUCCAACACAGACAAGGCCGACCACUCCACCGGAUGAAAGCCUUGUCAGAGCAAAUCUGUAGGUAACUAUGUUUUUUAUUGGCCUAUUAUUUGUAAAGAAUUUUAGGAAACAAAGGGAAUUGCUACAUAUUGUUUUUUUUUUAAUUUAAUCGUUCUUAAAGAAUAAAUGUCUGGCCCUUUUAAGAGAUCUGUUUGAUGCAUGUCCAAAAGCUAGGACCUGUUUGGGUUUUGGUGUGUAUCUCGCUAUUUUUGCAUGUUUCUUUUAUGCAAAUUAUUAAACUAAUAGUAUUCCUAUAAAAGCUACAUUAUAUUUAUUUAUUUAGGUUUCUAAAGUAGGUUAUUUAAAUUAAAUUAUUCCUUGAGAAGUUCAUUUGUAUAUAUAAUGUUUUUAGAUUAUGUUUAACCCUAAACCUUCCAAGUUCCUCCCUGCCCCCACUGUGCCCUUCCCAAUUCUCUUCCUGCCCCCAAAUAAAGUACUGAAUCCUGUUAGUGUUCCUUGAUGUACAUUCUUGAGUCAUGAAAAGCUACACCUAACCGCAGCCCUGAAGAAAAGUUACAUUAUUUUGCCUAGCAGCCAUCAGUGGUCAGUCUGAGAGUCAGACAGCACACAAUCUCAGAUGUGGUUAUAGCCUUGAAUCGUUAGCUUUGUGUGUUUGGCUUAGAUUUGUGGCAGAAACCACGAAAUGGGGCUAUUUGGAGUGGCAUUAAGAGGAGUUUACCAGAACACAGGUAUUCUUUCACCUUUUGGGGGAAUUUCUAUAAGUUUAUAAUUGUUCAUACAUACAUACAUAUAUACAUACCUUAAUUAUACUUAAUUGGAUCUGUUUCUUUUGAGUUCAUAGGAAGAAAAAUUAGAUACUAAUUUAGGUCUGCUUUCUUUUCUAACCUGCAUUUUAACGUUUAGAUUUUACCUAAAAUUCUGAUGCUAUAAGGGGACUGAGGCUAAUAUUGUUGGUUUUCUGCUAAAGACUAAAAUCUAUCAUUUCUUUACAGAUUACCAGUUCCUUUUCAUUGGAAAGAGAAUUCUUUUCACAUCAACUAUAUUCAAGUCUACAACAGUUUAUAAUCUCUUGUGGGCAGAAGAUGACAGAACUGACAUACUACAGAGGAAGGUAUGAAGAGUUACAGCGAGCAAGUAUGGGCCAUUCUCUCAGGUAUUUCUGCAGAAGCCACCCAUUAUAAGUGCACCAAACUUAUGUAUCAUUGGUAAGAAUUGCUCACAUGUGUUUAUACAUUAUGGCCGUUUUAAAGCAUAGAUUAACCCAUAAUGUUCAAGAGAGAGCCUCCUUGUUUUUCUUUUAAAUUCAUUUGUUUUGAUUUCGUGCAUAUAAUUAUUUUGUCUAUAUUUUUUUUUGUUGUUGUUGUUUUCUUUUGGGCAACACUUCCAUUCCUGGUAGCUGCUGUGGCCAGAAGAUGAUACUGAAUUUCUGAGAGCUGGAGUCAAGGGUGAUUGUGAGUUACCAUGUGGGUGCUGACAAAGGAACACAAGUCCUUUGGAAGUGCUCCUAAUCCAAGCCAUAUCACGAGACAGAGUCACCUUAGCUUUGUUGUUGUUGUUGAUGAUGAUGUUGUUGUUGUUUUUGACACAGAGUCUCUCACAGGGACCUGAGUUUCACAGAUUUGACUGCCUGACCAGGGACCUCCAGGGACAUGGAAUUCUUGACUUUCCAGUGUUUGCUAGGACUGAAGAUGUGUACCACCAUCACCCCACGGUUGUAAGGAAGCCAUACGUGUCUGACUGAAAAAUGGAUUACUUAGAUAAGGAUGACCCUUGAAGAACAAUCUUGCUUUGGGUUGAGAUACUUCAGUUAUGAAGACCACUUAGCCAGAGGCAGAACUACAGAAGGAAAAAGCAAGAUCUACCUGAGGACCAAGCUAUGUCACUCUUUGGAAUAUACC
rnacentral:sRNA from 1 species